GUUAGCUCUUUAGUAAUCGCACUAAACAGCAUUAAAAAAGAGAAAAAGGUGCGUUUGAACCGUCGUUUUAUCGAGCAAUCAAAAUAUUUCCUAUCCACUAUAAACAUACUGACAUGCCAUAUCAUAAACAUAAUUAAAACUGCCAGGAAAAUAUUACACUGCCACAAAGCAGUAGUAAUCGAAAAUCAUUCAAAUUAUGGAAACCGGAAAUCAAAAUCUCGGCAUAUAAAAAUUCAUCUCACUCUUCUGAAGAAGAAGCAUUUCAAACUUUUCCGUGUUACGUUGAAUGCUACAAUAGAUUUGGUUAGGAGUUAUUUAAUAGCAUGACGUUUUCGCCGAAAUUGACCAGAUUCCCUGUUACGCAUCUAAGUAUUGAUGGAAACAGCUGAUUAGGGUGUACCAAAAAAGAUAAACUUUUCCACUUUACUCAUCAAUGUUCAUAAAUCACACGAAGUUAGACUGGUCUACCGCCUCUGUGCAGAUUAAUGAAGAAAACCAUCUACCAACCCCAACUUUCCUGCUUACUGUUAUAGAUCGCAUAAAUUGCUGCAAGACUGAAAGUGUGAUCUAUUAAACAUUUAGCUAAAAAGAAGGAAGAAAAAAAAAUGGCCGUCUUUAUUGGUGAUAGAAAAUCUGGAACUUCCUUGUCUGUUCAUAAAUUAAAUGGUUUAAUUCUAAAUGGAUUAAAUUACCAGAAAUGGCAGCAUAUGUUAUUUUGACAAGAAAUUAAUAUCAAAUGUGAUCAUGAACAAUGAAAAUCAUGACGAAAUCGAAGUUCUUUCGUCCCAACAAAUAGAGUUACCCGAUUCCCUGUUUGAAGAGACGUGCACAACCAAUACCACGAAGAGUUCUCCUCCCUCAAAUAGAAUCGACGCCGCCGAGGUGAGGCGGAAAGUCAUCGCGAGGAUUGUGGGGGCCGUAGCUAUUUUCUUCAUAGUGUUUAGCUGUGUCUUGCUAGGGAUAUCUUUCAAUAUGUCAGAAGACAUCAACGAUAAAGUUCGAAAUUCAAACACCGUCUUAAGGAAACACAAUAUGGCAGGCAACUCACAUGUACACGUGACCAACGAAUCUUAUUUUCACUGAGAAUGUGCCAAAAGUAUUCACGCUUUAACGAGCUUUGACAAAUAUGCAACGAAUGGAAACGAAUUGCUUCCGAAUGCGAUAUAUAGCUGACAGCUGAAGUGCAGUGAUUGGGAUCAGAAUGGGAUGGUUAGCGUUGUGAAUAAGCUAUACAUAGUGUGUUCGAUUGGAAUACUGUAAAUAGUGAGUAUUAAUAGGAUUCAUUAUCGAAACUGCUGACUUGAUUUUGAAGGGACUGGAAAAGCGCAACGACCAGACUUGAUCUCAUAUCCUCUUCUUUCAGUCUAUUUAUUAAGAAACUGACAUGUUGUCGACAUUGAUGCACUAAACUGAGAAAUGAAUUUAUCGAUCAACAAUUCAAUUGGUUGGCCAUUUCAUCAAUUUUCAUUUUGUCAUGCCAUUAAUUUUCAUUGUAACAAAAUGUUUGAUGAAAUCAUAAUUACAAUGUUUUGACACGGUCACAAUGAUAAAACAUUUUAUGCAAAUAUUUUGCAUUUUAUUUAUACACAUUGUAUUAAAUAAUGAUGAGGUCUUGAACGCAUAUUCAUUCUAUGAUAGAUAUACUUUUAAAUGAAAUGUUUGAAUUUCAGAUGACUGCAUAUUUUUGGAAAUGCAGUGUUGCACAUGCAAAGUACAAUGUACACGAACAAAAGAUGUAUAUAUUUUAAGAAUACACAAUACAAACAAAUAUUUGAUGCAUGGAUUGAUAUUCAUUUUGACUGAUAUUGAAUGGAAAUGGCAUAAUAAACAUUUCUAAAAUACAAA